rnacentral:rRNA from 1 species
UACGAAGGGGGCUAGCGUUGCUCGGAAUCACUGGGCGUAAAGGGUGCGUAGGCGGGUCUUUAAGUCAGGGGUGAAAUCCCGAGGCUCAACCUCGGAACUGCCUUCGAUACUGGCGAUCUUUGAGUCCGGGAGAGGUGAGUGGAACUCCGAGUGUAGAGGUGAAAUUCGUAGAUAUUCGGAAGAACACCAGUGGCGAAGGCGGCUCACUGGCCCGGUACUGACGCUGAGGUGCGAAAGCGUGGGGAGCAAACAGG